CUGGCUCAGGAUGAACGCUAGCGACAGGCCUAACACAUGCAAGUCGAGGGCAGCGGAGUGAAGCUGCUCACUGCCGGCGACCGGCGCACGGGUGAGUAACGCGUAUGCAACCUGCCUGUAACAGGGGGAUAACCCGGAGAAAUCCGGACUAAGACCGCAUAACGCUGAGAAGCCGCAUGACUUUUCAGCCAAAUAUCAUAGGUUACAGAUGGGCAUGCGUCGAUUAGCCAGUUGGCGGGUAACGGCCACCAAGCGACGAUCGGUAGGGGUUCUGAGAGGAAGGUCCCCCACAUUGGAACUGAGACACGGUCCAAACUCCUACGGGAGGCAGCAGUGAGGAAUAUUGGUCAAUGGACGGAAGUCUGAACCAGCCAUGUCGCGUGAAGGAAUGAAGGUACUAUGUAUUGUAAACUUCUUUUGCCUGGGGGUAAAGUGGGUCACGCGUGGCCUAUUGCAAGUACCAGGCGAAUAAGCAUCGGCUAACUCCGUGCCAGCAGCUGC
rnacentral:rRNA from 1 species